UUACCUCUGCGUACGACUCAAGCCUGCCAUCGUGAGCACCCCAAUUCCUUUUUUGAGUUGGAAACCUAGAGGCUUUUUCUAUGCCAGCUCCCCUGGGCUUUCAUUACCGUCGUCCUCAUCGCUUUCCCUCUUUAUCGACAUCAAACUACCGAACUUCUCUCAACAUGUUCCCUUCGUCCAUCACUCUGUUGAAGGCUUUUGCAUGCCAACGCAGUGUUGUCUUCGUCCAUCGUUGCCUUCUCACCAAUGCAGCGUUGCCGUCGUAUCACUUGCCAUCGUUGCCUUCUCACCAGUGCAGUUUGCCGUCGUCGUUGCAGUCUUUGACUCCAUUGUCAUUGUAUUUGCUUCGUUACCUUAGAGCCUCAGAUAACUUCAAAGCUCUCAACAACUCUGCCUCUUCUUCAAGAUCCCCUUUUCUAAGCAUUUGUUGAUCAGAAACAAAAUGAGGAGAAUCAUCAAAGGACCUGGUUUUUGAGAGACUUGGAGAAGGAACACCGAGAAUGUGGGUUCGACUCAAACAUUGUGGACAAGGGAGAAUAUGAGGAUUAAUAAUUUUUAUCAAGCUUUCAUCCUUAAUAGAAAACAUUGCACUAGGUUAGUUCCGUUGAUAUCAUUAUAUGUAUACAGUAUUGUAGAUCUAGCUGUAAAUGACUUACAAUUAAGUUGAAAGUUUUGGAAAUGAAGUUGUGAAUUAACUCGAA